rnacentral:lncRNA from 1 species
GUAAACAUGUUGGUCUGUUUUGGCGCGUUAUUUAUACUGAGGCUGGGCCUGGCCUGUGGCUUAAGAAGAAUAAUCAAAAGAGUUAACUUAUCAGGAUACCCUAUUUGGUGGAGACAAGACUUGAUGAACCAACCUAGAUACAGCGUAUUAUUUGGUAACACAGAAAUGCUGGACCACUCUAACAACCACUAUGCAGACUACGCAGAGAAGCCACUGAAAUCCACAAGCAUGUGGACAAUUUCAACAGAAAGUAGGAAACCAUGAAAAUGAACAAAAUCUGGCUGCCAGUAUUAAAAAAAACUCUAAAAUUUGGACAGUAAAGAACAACACUCAGAAGACAGGAAUUCAAGACAUGAAACAAUCAGGGCCAGCUAAACCUCCUAACAGGAUUCUCCCAGGCAGUAAACAACCAGUCCUCGAAACCGCAAGGCCAUUGAAGUUACUACUGAAACUGGGCUUGGCUUGGGGCCGCUGACUUCUCUGCCAAUGCUCAACUUUCAACUCUGUUCCUCCUGGGCUUUAGUGGUGACUUUUGUUUUUAUUUUGCUUUCAGAUUAAAAAAAAAUAUUAUUCUUUUUAUUUUGUGGAGACUUCUCUUAAUUUUCUUGCUGGCUCAUGUUUAUCACUGAUGACUGAGCUUAGCAAAAUAUACAAUUUAAUUAUAUUAUGUUUAUUUAAGUUCAAUUAUGUAUUUUUAUUUAAUUUUAUAAGUUUAUUGUGAGAUUGUUUUAUCUACCCUUUUUAACUUGAUUCAUCAUUGUCUGUUUUCGGCAUUGAAUGUUUGCCAUCUUGUUACCUUUGUUGGAAACUGCUCUGAGGUCCUCGGUGAGAUAGGGUGGGGUCCAAAUAAAUAAUAAUAAUAAUAAUAAUAAUAAUAAUAAUAAUAAUAUUGUUGGAAGGCUUUCAUGGCCGGAAUCACUGGGUCGCUGUGAGUCUUUCGGGCUGUAUGGCCAUGUUCCAGAAGAUUGACCUCUGAGGAUGCUGGCCACAGAUAAAACUUCAGAAACAUGGCCAUAUAGCCCGAAAGACUCACAGCAACUCAAUGGUAAUAAUUAUAAUUAAAGUAGAGUCUCACUUAUCCAACAUUCACUUAUCCAACAUUCUGGAUUAUCCAACACAUUUUUGUAGUCAAUGUUUUCAAUACAUUGUGAUAUUUUGGUGCUAAAUUCGUAAAUACAGUAAUUACUACGUAGCAUUACUGCCUACUGAACUACUUUUUCUGUCAAAUGUGUUGUAUAACAUGAUGUUUUGGUGCUUCAUUUGUAAAAUCAUAUCCUAAUUUGGUGUUUAAUAGGCUUCUCUUUAAUCUCGCCUUAUUAUUCAACAUAUUCGCUUAUCCAACAUUCUGCCGGCCCGUUUAUGUUGGAUAAGUGAGACUCUACUGUAUUAUUAUUAAAAGCUAAUCAAGGUGAGCUCUGUCUUGGGCUCGUCCAUGAGUUCACGGAGUCAGAAGCAACUGAACGAAUAAACAACAAUCACGGUGCCCAAUUAUUACAUUUACACCUGCCUCAAGCAGGCAAGUGCUCUUUCUUCCACCCUGGACUUUCCACAGAUAUAUAAACACUCUCGCCUAGUUUCCAACAGACCUCACAACCUCUGAGGAUGCCUGCCACAGAUGCAGGCGAAACAUCAGGAGAAAAUGCUUCUGGAACAUGGUCAUACGGAAAACUCACAGCAGCCCACCGACUACUUUUCCUUCGCGGGUAACCACGUGACGCCAUAGACGCUCUACACUAUUGGUCCACGGCGUGGGAAAUUCUAUAAGCGCGCUCGGAUUGGCCGGUUGCGGGGGAAAGAACGCACGGUGCCGAUUGGGCGAUGACUCGGCGUCGGAGGGACGCAUUAUUGGGUAAACCCCCUCCGGCAGAGGCGAGGGCGCGGAUUGGUGGCGUCUUCCUAGCGUGGGCCGGCUCCUGAGCGCGGAUUGGCCAGAGCCAGGCGAAGGGGCGGGCGCGCGGGCAUGGCGUGGUGACUUGGGCCGCGCCGAGGCCGCUCUCGCCCUUUCUGUCGCAGUCAGGAGCGGGCGGGUGACGGUGCCUCCUCCUCAUCUCCCUCGUCGUCGUCC